rnacentral:rRNA from 1 species
AUUGAACGCUGGCGGAAUGCUUACACAUGCAAGUCGAGCGGCAGCGCGGGGCAACCUGGCGGCGAGCGGCGAACGGGUGAGUAAUACAUCGGAACGUGCCCAGACGUGGGGGAUAACUACUCGAAAGAGUGGCUAAUACCGCAUACGAUCUACGGAUGAAAGCGGGGGAUCGCAAGACCUCGCGCGUCUGGAGCGGCUGAUGGCAGAUUAGGUAGUUGGUGGGAUAAAAGCCUACCAAGCCAACGAUCUGUAGCUGGUCUGAGAGGAUGAUCAGCCACACUGGGACUGAGACACGGCCCAGACUCCUACGGGAGGCAGCAGUGGGGAAUUUUGGACAAUGGGCGAAAGCCUGAUCCAGCCAUUCCGCGUGCAGGAUGGAGGCCCUCGGGUUGUAAACUGCUUUUGUACAGAACGAAAAAGCUCUGGCUAAUACCUGGAGUCCAUGACGGUACUGUAAGAAUAAGCACCGGCUAACUACGUG